GAGUGUCCGCCUGAAGAAAGCCUGC
rnacentral:piRNA from 1 species